ensembl:misc_RNA 7SK 7SK RNA
AGGAGGAAGAUGUCAUCUGUCAUCCUACUGAUUGCCAAGGUUGACUUGGCUGACCUGGAUGGCUAGGCAGGUGUUCCCUUCCCCUGUCACCACCCCUGUCCCUCCUGAAGCUGUGCACCCAGCAGAAGAGGACACAGGAAGGCUGGCAUUCUGUCAAGGGCACACAAAUGGCUGACCUCCAAAUAAUUCUCAAAGUAGAGGGACCACAAAUUCCAUCUGAAUUACACUCAGGGAUCCAUUCAUUUUGUUUGCAUUGCCU